rnacentral:rRNA from 1 species
GGGGCUGAGGUGCGGUGAGGCGCGGGAGGAGGGAGGGGGGUGGGGUUGUUGGGGAUGACUGGGUGUAAAGGGGUCGGAGGCGGUGGGGCAAGGCGGGAGUGAAAUGGCUGGGGUCAACUCAGAGGCUGCGUCCGAAACGGCGGUGGUUGGGUGGGGGAGAGGCGCGUGGAAUUGCAGGUGUAGCGGUGAAAUGCGUAGAUAGCUGCAGGAACACCCGUGGCGAAAGCGGCGCGCUGGACCACUACUGACGCUGAGGAACGAAAGCUAGGGGAGCAAACAGGAUUAGAUACCCGAGUAGUC